rnacentral:rRNA from 1 species
ACUAGAGUAGCACUCGCAUAUCAAUAAGCGGAGGAAAAGAAACUAACAAGGAUUCCCCUAGUAACGGCGAGUGAAGCGGGAAGAGCUCAAAUUUGAAAUCUUAAAGGGUUUCCCUUUACGAAUUGUAGUUUAAAGAAGUGUUUUCUGUUGAGGUUUUGGUAAAAGUUCUUUGGAAUAGGACAUCAUAGAGGGUGAGAAUCCCGUAUUUGACCUUUACUUUCAACUUUGUGAUACACUUUCAAAGAGUCGGAUUGUUUGGGAAUGCAGUCCAAAAUGGGUGGUAAAUUUCAUCUAAAGCUAAAUAUUGGCGAGAGACCGAUAGCGAACAAGUACCGUGAGGGAAAGAUGAAAAGAACUUUGAAAAGAGAGUUAAACAGUACGUGAAAUUGUCAAAAGGGAAGCGUUUGACACCAGUGUUGUUUUUCUGAAAAUCAAUUAAAGAACUGUUUAUGCUAAGCUGUUUAGACUUUAUCAGCUAUCUGUUUAGUUUUGAGCUUUCCUUUAAUGCACUUUUCAGUUAACAAGUCAACAUCAAUUUCUUUUGCUGUAAAAAAGCUUGAGGAAGGUGGCUUGAGAUUCGUCUUAAGUGUUUAUAGCCUCUUGCCUAUGCAGUCGGAGAGAUUGAGGUCUGCAGCGUAGAUCCUUCGGGGCUAAAUGCAUUUGUGCUAAGUUAUAGCAUUUUAUAGACAACUUGUUGACUAUGAUUUGUCUUGUAGCUUACUCGCUUGUGUUAUUUUACCUACGCUUAGGAUGUUGAGCGCAUGUCUCUCUCU